rnacentral:tRNA from 1 species
GGGGAUGUAGCUCAUAUGGUAGAGCGCUCGCUUCGCACGGGGUUCGAUUCCCCGCAUCUCCA